ACGGAGGAUCCAAGCGUUAUCCGGAUUCAUUGGGUUUAAAGGGUGCGUAGGCGGAACGAUAAGUCAGUGGUGAAAGCCUGUAGCUUAACUACAGAACUGCCAUUGAUACUGUCGAUCUUGAGUAUAUUUGAUGUGGGCGGAAUGUGUCAUGUAGCGGUGAAAUGCUUAGAUAUGACACAGAACACCGAUUGCGAAGGCAGCUCACAAAACUAUAACUGACGCUGAGGCACGAAAGCGUGGGGAUCAAACAGGAUUAGAUACCCUGGUAGUCCACGCCGUAAACUAUGAUUACUCGAUGUUUGCGAUACACUGUAAGCGUCUAAGCGAAAGCGAUAAGUAAUCCACCUGGGGAGUACGCUCGCAAGAGUG
rnacentral:rRNA from 1 species